rnacentral:lncRNA from 1 species
GGGGAUUUCCAAGCUGGAAAUUCAAACAGCUCAGCACGGAAUAGGCUCCAACAGGGUCAGGUAACGGAAAUAACAAGAUGGUAAGUUAUUCCAGGGAAAGGGCAAUUUUCCUCAUACGCUGCCUGACUCUGAGAACACUGUGAUCAUGGUAGAAAUUGGAGGGUCAGAGCUGGUGUCUAGGGAAAGAGAAAGGAAGGCACUGUGCCCGCUGCUGUCAGUGCAGCCCCAGGUGUGAGAGAGGGUGUGAGGUCAAUCCCAGGCUGGGCCCACAGCCGGCCACGAGCAGGCACAUCCUCGCUAGAGGCCCAGGACCUGCCACCAGCCACAGCUGAAGAGGCUGGGGCGUCAAGGCAGAAAGCCAACAUCCCGGAGUCAUACAGAUGCACGUUCUCUUCCCAGCUCUGGCACAUACCAGCUGUGUGACCUUAAUCAACGUAGAAGUGUCUUGUAAACUUCGAUGACUCGGUGCUGUGGAAGUAAGGAGACCUCUUUGUCCCCACACUGCCUGACCCUGGCAUAUUGGAGCUGCCUCCUUCUCCAGCCCCAGACAGCCCUCCCAGCUUCUUCUUGAAUCUGCAGCCGGUUACCCCUGGGGAGAACAAGCCUUGCUGGUGGAGGGGAGAUAAACAAGCUCACCAAAUCAUUAUUCUUAAUUUGCAGGAAGGCCAAAGCUCCCUCUGAGCCGAGCUCUAUUCUAAAGACAUUUUUUACUGUUUAGAAGUCUUUGAUUCCUUUACUUCCCAGCAACUGGCUGAGUUCCCAGGGCUGAAGUUGCCUUGAAGUUUGACUGCUGAGUAAGAAAAAGAGUUUUCCUCUGUUUUGUUGUUAAUCCAGAGUUUGAGCUGGGAGCAUAAAGAUUUCAAACAUACCGAAUAGGAUUUCUUCAACUAGAUGUUUUGGAAAAUACAAAUAUGAGAUCUGAGAAGAACAGAUACAAAAGAAAAGAAGUCUCAGUUCCAGGCUAAGGUGGACGGAAAGGGGGUGCCCUAAGGAGGCUCGAACCUGAGACAGUCUGUGAACCAGAAAAACCUCCCCUAGAGUUUGGGGGCCAGCGUGCAGCUGCUCACAUUUUUAUUUUGCUAAAUUAAGAAUAUAAAAUAAGAACUAUUGGAUAAGAUCACCCUUAUUUUAGAAAAGAGAGGGGAAAAGUC